UGGAUUUACAAUGGAAUGUCAUUUACAUAUCAAAAGAGGUUGUCAUCAAAAGGCACAGCAUAGAUGGCAAGCCUUUCCACUGUCACAGAUAUGUAACAAAUAAUGUGUCCAUCUUUAUUAUGAAAGGAGUCAUGUUACUAGGAGAUUAGAAGAUCAGAGUAAUUAACAUCUAGGUGUAACCAUACAAGAAUAUGUUUUCCAAAGCCAUCCUGUCUCUAAAGCUGUCCAGGCCUGCUUCCAACCUACCGAGAUACCACCUUAACUGGCCACUUCUUACGGAAUGUUCCGGUUUAGCUGGAGGGAAGAGAUCAAAG